rnacentral:rRNA from 1 species
GUGGGGAAUUUUGGACAAUGGGCGCAAGCCUGAUCCAGCAAUGCCGCGUGCAGGAAGAAGGCCUUCGGGUUGUAAACUGCUUUUGUACGGAACGAAACGGUCCGGGUUAAUACCCUGGGCUAAUGACGGUACCGUAAGAAUAAGCACCGGCUAACUACGUGCCAGCAGCCGCGGUAAUACGUAGGGUGCAAGCGUUAAUCGGAAUUACUGGGCGUAACGCGUGCGCAGGCGGUUUUGUAAGACAGGAGUGAAAUCCCCGGGCUCAACCUGGGAAUUGCGCUUGUGACUGCAAGGCUGGAGUGCGGCAGAGGGGGAUGGAAUUCCGCGUGUAGCAGUGAAAUGCGUAGAUAUGCGGAGGAACACCGAUGGCGAAGGCAAUCCCCUGGGCCUGCACUGACGCUCAUGCACGAAAGCGUGGGGAGCAAACAGGAUUAGAAACCCGGGUAGUCC